UGGGGAAUUUUGGACAAUGGGCGAAAGCCUGAUCCAGCAAUGCCGCGUGUGUGAAGAAGGCCUUCGGGUUGUAAAGCACUUUUGUCCGGAAAGAAAUCCUUGGCUCUAAUACAGUCGGGGGAUGACGGUACCGGAAGAAUAAGCACCGGCUAACUACGUGCCAGCAGCCGCGGUAAUACGUAGGGUGCAAGCGUUAAUCGGAAUUACUGGGCGUAAAGCGUGCGCAGGCGGUUUGCUAAGACCGAUGUGAAAUCCCCGGGCUCAACCUGGGAACUGCAUUGGUGACUGGCAGGCUAGAGUAUGGCAGAGGGGGUAGAAUUCCACGUGUAGCAGUGAAAUGCGUAGAGAUGUGGAGGAAUACCGAUGGCGAAGGCAGCCCCUGGGCCAAUACUGACGCUCAUGCACGAAAGCGUGGGGAGCAAACAGGAUUAGAUACCCUGGUAGUCCACGCCCUAAACGAUGUCAACUAGUUGUUGGGGAUUCAUUUCCUUAGUAACGUAGCUAACGCGUGAAGUUGACCGCCUGGGGAGUACGGUCGC
rnacentral:rRNA from 1 species